CCUAGGGAGGCAGCAGUAGGGAAUCUUCCGCAAUGGACGAAAGUCUGACGGAGCAACGCCGCGUGAGCGAUGAAGGCCUUCGGGUCGUAAAGCUCUGUUGUUAGGGAAGAACAAGUACCGGAGUAACUGCCGGUACCUUGACGGUACCUAACCAGAAAUCCACGGCUAACUACGUGCCAGCAGCCGCGGUAAU
rnacentral:rRNA from 1 species